AUUGAACGCUGGCGGCAGGCCUAACACAUGCAAGUCGAGCGGAUGAAGGGAGCUUGCUCCUGGAUUCAGCGGCGGACGGGUGAGUAAUGCCUAGGAAUCUGCCUGGUAGUGGGGGAUAACGUCCGGAAACGGGCGCUAAUACCGCAUACGUCCUGAGGGAGAAAGUGGGGGAUCUUCGGACCUCACGCUAUCAGAUGAGCCUAGGUCGGAUUAGCUAGUUGGUGGGGUAAAGGCCUACCAAGGCGACGAUCCGUAACUGGUCUGAGAGGAUGAUCAGUCACACUGGAACUGAGACACGGUCCAGACUCCUACGGGAGGCAGCAGUGGGGAAUAUUGGACAAUGGGCGAAAGCCUGAUCCAGCCAUGCCGCGUGUGUGAAGAAGGUCUUCGGAUUGUAAAGCACUUUAAGUUGGAAGGAAGGGCAGUAAGUUAAUACCUUGCUGUUUUGACGUUACCAACAGGAUAAGCACCGGCUAACUUCGUG
rnacentral:rRNA from 1 species